CUAGCCGUUGGGAAAAAACAUUUGGAGAAAAUUCAAAUGUAAUGGAGCGGAAAACUAAUUGGAGUAAACCAUGGUAUCGUACGGAGUUCACUUUAAAGGAGGGAUCGUAAUUAUUAAUGUGUUAUUAUUUCUGCACAGAUGGAGUGAAAGUUGGGGCAAAGGCAGCCACAAUUGUCUGUAUCGCAUCUGCAUGUUUACCCUAACAUUUGUUAGGUCAAUUUUGUUUUAUUUUCUGUCAAUGCUUUGUUCUUCUUUGUUCUGUCUGUCUUUCUGUUAUUUCUUUCAUUAUAUUUUUUUUUUCCCAAUACAAUGUUUGUUCAAUGCUUUGCCCUGUCUUUUCGUUAUGCUGUUUUUUCUUUUUUUUUUGAAGAGUCUGUUUACAGUGUGCACACUGGUCUGUCUUUCAUGAUUUUUAUCUAUUAUUUGUUUUUUUUACUUUUCGUGUGGUAGAAGAUGAAGAAGAAAUGAAAAAGAGGAGGAGCAGAAUAAGGGAAAAAAUCUUCUUCCAGCUUGUCAUGGUACUGACAAUGGAUUCAUUGGUGGGACCAUUUCUCAGAGGAGGCCUUGCUAAGCUCUUCAUGACUCCCUCUGAACCCACUCACAGGUGAGCAACAUCAUCAACUUAGGGGAAAAUCUUGUGGAGUGGGACGUCUUACUUCUUGGUAAAUCACAAAUGUUUUAGGAUUGUUUGUGGGUUAUAGUAACACAAAGAAGCUGCAAUCAUUGAAGUUGACAUGAAAGAUUACAAACGGGACUUGGAUGGUAGCAUGUUGUAGCAAAAAAACUGCAGUUUGAUAAAUUGGGCUAAGCAGCUAUAUUGGGUUGAGCGACUAUAUGAACUCAUCUUUUUCAACAUGAUGUAUUCGAAACAGCAAGAGAUGGAAUUAGGCUUAAAUCAUUUAUGUAGUUAUAUUUUGGUCAAGCAUAUUGCCUUGAUGGCAUUGUAAUAUGUACAAAUAUAGUGUUUAAUAAAAAAAAUAUUGGAAGGGGUUAAAAUCCCUUUCUCACGACUGAAAGGAAUAGUCAUUGGCCAUGAUUAUUCCUUGAGGUCGUGUUUUCUGAUA